AGCUGGAAUGGCGUAGUGGUUAGCGUGUUGGACUGGGACUUGGGAGACCAGGGUUUGAAUCCCCACUCGGCCA